rnacentral:snRNA from 1 species
GUGCUUGCUUCAGCAGCACAUAUACUAAAAUUGGAAUAAUACAGAGAAGAUUAGCAUAGCCCCUGUGCAAGGAUGACAUGAAAAUUCAUGAAGCUUUCCAUACUUUU